UGCCCUUCUUCGAUUUGAGCCAUAACAGCUAGAGUAGCUAAGGCGUCAGCAAAUUGAUUCUUGUCUCUACUCAGAUGAGUGAAAGAGAUUUCUUCGAAUUCCCUGAUCAUCUCCAGUAAGUAUUUCUGGUAGGGGAUUAACUUGGGAUCCUUGGUUUGCCAUUCUCCCUUGACCUGAUAAAUUAUCAGAGCCGAGUCUCCAUACACCUCCAACUUUCUGAUUUUCA
rnacentral:misc_RNA from 1 species